GGAGCUGUAGCUCAGUGGUAGAGUGACUGUCUGGCAUACACGAGGUCCCAGGUUCAACCCCAGCACCA
rnacentral:tRNA from 1 species